GCAGAGGCUUUAACCCACUGAGCCACCCAGGCGCCCCUAAUUCAGGAUUCUUACCUGAGUCAAUGGAUGGACUGAAACUGGUACAAAAUUGUGCGUGGAUAGUAUAUACAUUGUUC